rnacentral:rRNA from 1 species
AGUGAACGCUGGCGGUAGGCCUAACACAUGCAAGUCGAACGGCAGCACAGUAAGAGCUUGCUCUUACGGGUGGCGAGUGGCGGACGGGUGAGGAAUACAUCGGAAUCUACUUUUUCGUGGGGGGUAACGUAGGGAAACUUACGCUAAUACCGCAUACGACCUACGGGUGAAAGAAGGGGAUCUUCGGACCUUGCGCGAUUGAAUGAGCCGAUGUCGGAUUAGCUAGUUGGCGGGGUAAAGGCCCACCAAGGCGACGAUCCGUAGCUGGUCUGAGAGGAUGAUCAGCCACACUGGAACUGAGACACGGUCCAGACUCCUACGGGAGGCAGCAGUGGGGAAUAUUGGACAAUGCGCACAAGCCUGAUCCAGCCAUACCGCGUGGGUGAAGAAGGCCUUCUGGUUGUAAAGCCCUUUUGUUGGGAAAGAAAAGCAGCAGGUUAAUACCCCGCUGUUCUGACGGUACCCAAAGAAUAAGCACCGGCUAACUUCGUG